rnacentral:rRNA from 2 species
UGGGGAAUAUUUCACAAUGGGCGAAAGCCUGAUGCAGCAACGCCGCGUGAAGGAAUAAGUAUCUCGGUAUGUAAACUUCUAUCAGCAGGAAAGAAAAUGACGGUACCUGACUAAGAAGCACCGGCUAAAUACGUGCCAGCAGCCGCGGUAAUACGUAUGGUGCAAGCGUUAUCCGGAUUUACUGGGUGUAAAGGGAGCGCAGGCGGUAGAUUAAGUCUGAUGUGAAAACCCGGGGCUCAACCCCGGGACUGCAUUGGAAACUGGUCAACUAGAGUGUUGGAGAGGUAAGUGGAAUUCCUAGUGUAGCGGUGAAAUGCGUAGAUAUUAGGAGGAACACCAGUGGCGAAGGCGACUUACUGGACAAUUACUGACGCUGAGGCUCGAAAGCGUGGGGAGCAAACAGG